UACGUAGGUGGCAAGCGUUGUCCGGAUUUAUUGGGUGUAAAGGGAGCGUAGACGGCUGUGCAAGUCUGAAGUGAAAGCCCGCGGCUUAACCGCGGAACCGCUUUGGAAACUGCAUAGCUAGAGUGCUGGAGAGGUAAGCGGAAUUCCUGGUGUAGCGGUGAAAUGCGUAGAUAUUAGGAGGAACACCAGUGGCGAAGGCGGCUUGCUGGACGACAACUGACGCUGAGGCGCGAAAGCGUGGGGAGCAA
rnacentral:rRNA from 1 species